rnacentral:rRNA from 1 species
CACCAGCGCCACAAGUGGGAAUCACAUUUAUUGGGCCUAAAGCGUUCGUAGCCGGCUUUGUAAAUCCUUUGUGAAAUCGCAGGGCUUAACCCUGCGGCGUGCAGAGGACACUGCAGAGCUUGGGACCGGGAGGAGCUAGAGGUAUUCCUUGGGGAGCGGUAAAAUGCUAUAAUCCAAGGAAGACCACCUGUGGCGAAGGCGUCUAGCUAGAACGGAUCCGACGGUGAGGGACGAAAGCUAGGGGA